UACAUUCAAUUGUCAUCUCAAUUUACCAUCUCAAUAUGCAAAUGGAUAUGCAUAAGGUCGUAUAAAAAGCCUUUGCGGUUUUUUCCGCGGGAUGGAAUACUGGGCAAAACUCACCGAUUGUCUUAAACAAACAAGUGCUAAAAAGUUUUGUAUUGAUAUGAAAAAGGGCAAAAUAUCUGAAGAAAUACGCCAUGCGAUGUUUUUUACUAUGAAAAAGGUGAAACAUUCAAAAACAUGCCGGAAAAUUUGUAAAGUGUGCUUGGUAGAGCAAGACCUGCACGCAAGCUGUCAGGGAUAGAGGAGGCGCUAAACAUUAAUCACAUGACAGUUUGGAAUCAUUUGAGAAAAGCGGGCUGCAAAGAGGAACCGCGUAACCGCGAAAAGACCGCAAAGACUUUU